AAUUUUCCAUAUCACUGAAUUUUGAUUGUAGAAUUGACAGCUUCUCUAUUUCAGCUUUCUGCUUUUCUACAGUCUCUUCCAGCUCCUGAAGCACUGAAACAAGCUCAACAUUUGACUCUUGACUCCUACUCAACUGCAAGUGAGGAAUCCUCCAAGGCUGCUGGUUUCUCUGUUGACUUCUCCAACAAUAGCUUCAGCUUUUCAACUUCCUUUUGCAGUCCCUCACGUUCUGCACACGCUGCUGACAGCUCCAUCUCCAAAUUUACUUGGUUACUGGACUGGUCUGAGUAUUCUUUCCUCAAUAUCUCUAAGUCAAGCAUUAGCUUCCUGGCAUUCCUCUCCCACAUCUUAGCUUCACUGUGAAGGUCUUCGAUUGUAUCUUCUGCAGCUUCCAAUAGGCUUUUAGAUGAACCUGAAAUUCUCGAAGAUGGUGCAGCCAACUCUUGAAGGUCAUCCACAGAAAGGUUUGCUGAAUGUGUAAUCCGUGAGUUAAAUGAUGAAUGAUCUGAUUGCGAAGCAUUGUCAGAGUUAGAACUGCCUGGAGGUACACCAUUUUGGGAGCUAGUUGAGUCUUGUCUUGCAAUGUGGUUGUCCUCAUCAAUACUCAACUUGUUUGAAGGGGAAAAUACUUCUCUUCCCAUAGAACUCUCUGCUGAGUUAUAGAUAUGAUGUGAUUCUGAACUAGAUAAACUAGCGUCCUGGAAUCCUCCUCCUCCCUUUGACAUAUAAAAAAAAAGUGAGAGACUUGUAUUGCAUCAUAAAUUCCUCAAAUUAUAAAAAGGAGAUUGAUUUCAUUUCCAUUGUGCAACAAGUGAAAAAGAGAUGCAUUCUGCAGAAACAUGCUUCAUAUUAAGACCUUGUUUGCAUUCAACCAAGCAAAGAUGCUGCAAAGUUGGAAGGGAAUAUGUGAUAUUACAUACCCUUGUUUCAUGGUCGUCUUGAUGAGUGAUGGAACCCAAAUCUCUGCUGGAGUAAGAUCUUGCACUCUUUGCAAAUGUAUUAUCAGAUUCCUCUGACUUGACUUCUCCAUCCUUAGAGUCUGCAGUAAGAUCUUCUUUAUGGGAAUUUGAUUCUUUUGAUUCAUCAUCCCUGAAAAUUUAUGCCAGACAAAUCUUCCAUGAACUAACAGAAGGAGAGGGAAAAGAAAAGGAAAAAGGGAAGACUGAAAAUUCCACCACAUAUGUACUAAACCUGAGAUUAAUCCUUGGUGUCAGGCAUUGAAUCUUGAGCUGCAAAUCGUUAUCAAAGGAAAAGUUUGGUGACAAAUUCAAAGAGAAUUAACAAGAAGAAUUAGCCGGAAGCGACAGUAAAAGAGAGAGAAUAUUAUUAGAUAGGUGGUGGAUCAUUGUAGAGAAUUGGGUGAUAUUUUAUGUCUUACCAACUUUGG